AUUGAACGCUGGCGGCAUGCUUUACACAUGCAAGUCGAACGGUAACAGGCCUUCGGGUGCUGACGAGUGGCGAACGGGUGAGUAAUGCAUCGGAACGUGCCCAAUCGUGGGGGAUAACGUAGCGAAAGUUACGCUAAUACCGCAUAAGCCCUGAGGGGGAAAGUGGGGGACCGCAAGGCCUCACGCGAAUGGAGCGGCCGAUGUCAGAUUAGCUAGUUGGUGGGGUAAAGGCCCACCAAGGCGACGAUCUGUAGCGGGUCUGAGAGGAUGAUCCGCCACACUGGGACUGAGACACGGCCCAGACUCCUACGGGAGGCAGCAGUGGGGGAAUUUUGGACAAUGGGCGCAAGCCUGAUCCAGCCAUGCCGCGUGCGGGACGAAGGCCUUCGGGUUGUAAACCGGUCUUCUAGCCGGAAAGAAAGU
rnacentral:rRNA from 1 species